rnacentral:rRNA from 1 species
CUCCGAAGUUUCCCUCAGGAUAGCUGGAACUUGAAGAAUAGUUUUAUCAGGUAAAGCGAAUGAUUAGAAGCUCUGGGGAUGAAAACAUCCUCGACUUAUUCUCAAACUUUAAAUAGGUAAGAUGAUUGCAGUACUUAAUUGACUGUCAGUCUCUUGAAUAGAAAGUUCUUAGUGGGCCAUUUUUGGUAAGCAGAACUGGCGAUGUGGGAUGAACCAAACGUAAAGUUAAAGUGCCUAAAAGUACGUUCAUCAGACACCACAAAAGGUGUUGAUUCAUCUUGACAGUUGGACAGUGGCCAUGGAAGUCGGAAUCUGCUAAGGAGUGUGUAACAACUCACCAACCGAAUGAAUUAGCCCUGAAAAUGGAUGGCGCUUAAACGUAUUACUUAUACUUUACCAUUAAGAUAAAAUGCUAAAAUUCUUAAUGAGUAGGAGGGCGUAUGGAUAAUUUAGAAGACUGAUAGUGAUAUUGGUUGGAAUUAUCUUUAGUGCAGAUCUUGGUGUAGUAGCAAUAUUCUAAA